GGGAGAUAAUUCUCUUGUCAAUAGGGAAGGGAGAAAGAAAGAAGCAGUGGGGAUACUUCCCAGCCCAUGGGACAAUGGCCUGAUUUGGGAAGACAAUGUGGCUAAGCAAGUCACUCAACCGGGGCAACAAGGCUCUGCCCUGUGCCUCCUCUUUUCUCCACACGUGCACUUUCUGAGAUAUCCUCAGCUUCCAUGGAUUCAGUGUAGAUGUAUCUGGAGGCAGGCUGACUCCCAGAUCUAUGGAUCCAGCUCCAAUCUCUUAAGUCCACUCUUGGGUCAUCAACUGCCUAUUAGAUACUUCCAACUGGUCCUCUUGUACACAAUUCAAAUUGAAUACAUCCAAAACAGAACUCACCAUUAUCUUUACACAUUCUAUGUUCCAGCCUACUUACUUACUUCUCAUUCCUUGCUUAAGACAUUCCAUCUCUCAUCCCAUGCUUUUGUACGGGUCGUCUCUCAUGUCUGGAGCACCCUCCCUUCUCACUUCUGCCUCUUCAAAGCCUGAGCUCCUUCCAAAGAUAUUUCUGUGCAGUACAGACGGCCAAUGACUCCCAGGUUCUCCUAGGAAGCCUGAGAAAGAGGAGAAACUGAGGAUGAUGGACAGAAAAAAGAGAAAAAGAUUUCUGGAGUCACUGAACAAAAGUGUAAAGUCAGAAUCCUGUUUCUAGGACACUGCAGUUAUGGGUCACCAUUGAGCAAAGAGGUUCACAUCAUAUUGGCAGUGACAAAUACCUGAAUCUACACAUUCAGCCCUAAUCUCUCUUAGUGACCUCUAGUCCUCCAUCAUCAACUGCCUACUGGACAUUUUGAACUGGAUGUCAAAGUUCCCAUGCCCAAAACAGAAUUCAAGACCUUUUCCUCCACACCCACCCUAAUUUCUCUAGUUCUCACAGGGCACCACCAUCCUCUGUCACAUAGGUUCCCAACUCCAGAGACCUUCUUGAUUGGUCAGUGUCCUUCCUAGCACCUCCCCCACCCGAGCCAAUCAGUUGCCUAACCCUGUUGAUUCUAACCCCAUAUUUCUCAUAUCCCUCUUUCUCUCCCCUCACACAGCCUAGCUCAUGCACUUACCAUCUCUCACCUGUACAACUACAACAACUCUAAUUAAGGUAGCAGUUUGACCACGUCACUGUCCUGCUUAAUAAACUCCACUGUAUAUAGGACAGAGCACUUGACCUUCUGUCUGGCAUUUAAAGAUCUUUAAAGUCUGGCCCAAGCCAGCUUCCAUGAUGUGCAUUGACCUCCUUCACAAACAUCAUAGUCCAGGCAAACUGGCCUCCAUACCAUUCCUAGUACAUGACUUUUCUCCCAUAUCCCAUGCCUAGAAUGCAUCUCUAUGUAUUAGAAUGUCUCACUUUCCUCAAAAUUCAAAUAAAGCUCCCCUUUCUACAGGAAAAUUUUCCCAAUGGUGCUUUUAAGUUUACUUCGUAUUUUUCUCUUUCCUUAUGUUUAUACACAGUUUCCCCUGAUAGAAUGUAAUCUCCCUGAGGGCAGGGAUUGGUGACUCCCCAGUGCCCUGCACAGAGCCUAGCCUGCAGUAGUGGCUUCACGGAUGCUUGCAGACUCACGGGCCCACCCCACAGCAGACUGAACCAUCAGGACUUUGUCACUGGCUAUUUCCACGGGGGUGGAGUGGAAGAAGAGGGGGAAGGGAAGGAGUUGGAGCCGCCACGGCUGUGUCCUUGUCUGGUGAAGCCACAGGGGAUCCUUAGAUGACCGAUGCGGGCUGGCUCUGUUUUCAGCCAGCAGGGGUCAGGUUCAGACCAGUGGAACAGCCAUCGGAUCCUAGCAGAUCUGGGAGGAACUCAUUUCCGAUGACUGAAUGAAUGAGUGCUGGACAAUUUGGGUCCGCAUUCCAGCCCUGCUACCAACUCUCUGCAUGACCUUGGCCAAGUCCCUUUCCCUCUCCUAAAUCCUUAAAUUAUGGGGGUUAUUCUAG